AUUGAACGCUGGCGGCAUGCCUUACACAUGCAAGUCGAACGGCAGCACGGGGGCAACCCUGGUGGCGAGUGGCGAACGGGUGAGUAAUACAUCGGAAUGUACCCAGUAGUGGGGGAUAACUAGUCGAAAGAUUAGCUAAUACCGCAUACGCACUAUGGUGGAAAGCGGGGGGAUCGCAAGACCUCGCGCUAUUGGAGCAGCCGAUGUCCGAUUAGGUAGUUGGUGGGGUAAAAGCCUACCAAGCCUGCGAUCGGUAACUGGUCUGAGAGGACGACCAGUCACACUGGGACUGAGACACGGCCCAGACUCCUACGGGAGGCAGCAGUGGGGAAUUUUGGACAAUGGGGGAAACCCUGAUCCAGCAAUGCCGCGUGUGUGACGAAGGCCUUGGUGUAAGCACUUCGGUCGGACGAACGGGACGCGUUCUAUACAGAGU
rnacentral:rRNA from 1 species